AAUAUUUCACAAUGGGCGCAAGCCUGAUGCAGCAACGCCGCGUGAGGGAUGAAUGCCUUCGGGUUGUAAACCUCUUUUAGUAGGGAAGAAGCGAAAGUGACGGUACCUUCAGAAAAAGCACCGGCUAACUACUGGCCAGCAGCCGCGGUAAUACGUAUGGUGCAAGCGUUGUCCGGAAUUAUUGGGCGUUAAGAGCUCGUAGGCGGCUUGGCGCGUCUGCUGUGAAAACCCGAGGCUCAACCUCGGGCUUGCAGUGGGUACGGGCAGGCUAGAGUGCGGUAGGGGAGAUUGGAAUUCCUGGUGUAGCGGUGGAAUGCGCAGAUAUCAGGAGGAACACCGAUGGCGAAGGCAGAUCUCUGGGCCGCUACUGACGCUGAGGAGCGAAAGCAUGGGGAGCGAAC
rnacentral:rRNA from 1 species